GGGUUUCGCUCUGUUGCCCAGGCUGGACUGCAAGGCACAGUCAUAGCUCACUGCAACCUCCGCCUCCCAGGCUCAAUCGAUCUUCCCGCCUCAGCCUCCCAAAGACAGGGUCUCACUAUAUUGCCCAGGCUGGCCUCAAACUCCUGCACUCCAGUGAUCCUCUGGUCUCAGCCUCCCACGUAGCUAGGACAAUAGAAGUGCUUAUCAGAAAAGGCUGUUCAAAGACCACCGGUUGUUUUAACUGCUGAAAGCAAGCCUGCGUCUUGGUAAGACUACUCCAGAAAGACCCCUACGAGAUGCUUACA